AUUAUAGUGUGGCAGAGACAACAUAGCAUGUGUUCACCAAAUCUCAUCUCAUUUUCCUUUUCCUGGACAAGAAAAACACUACAUUUCUCAGCCUUCCUUGCAGUGAGCUUGGAGCCAGGAGAACUGGGCUAUGAAGAGGGAGAUUUAAUUCCUAAAAACAUCCCAUUGGGAGCUCCAACUCUCUCUCCUUCUGCUAUGGGUUUAAGAGUUUAAAGAAGCAUAAAAAUGAUCUAUUCAUGCACAAUCAAUUAAGGUGCAAGACACUAUAAGGAACUGUAAAAGAUAUUCAUGAAACACUGAGGGGAGACCAGACAGUCUACCACAUCAAAAUGAAAUUCAACAACAGUGACGCUGGCCAGGAAAUUUGAAGGAAGGCAAGCACAAUUGUAAAACAGGAGAGCUAAAUGGCAUAGAUUAAUCAAUAAAAGUAUUGAUUAAUGAAAAGAAUCAAUGUAUAGCAGCAUAAUAUAAGAAAUAUGUUACAGUUAUGACAACUGUAAUGCAUGAUAUUUAGGAUAAAAGUUAAACACAAUUCAAUGAAUAUAGUAAUUUUAUUAAUAACUACUAAUAUCAGCUAGAGAGAGUUUAUGUUAUGACAUAUAACUAAAAUGUAAAGCAGAAAUAGGAAUCUUUAUAUCUAAAUGUUGGUGCCAAGCAAUUAUUGCUUUCAGAUAAUUUUCAAGAACUUGCUGAACCAAAUCACUGAAUCACCAAAUUGUUAUCCAGAAUUUAACAAAUUGUUGCAUGAGUUUACUUUUCCACCAAGUACCUGUUUCCCAUAUGUUAAUGAUGAGUAUUUUUUUAUUAAAAAUUUUCCAAUUUGCUAAGCAACAGAACUAUAUUAUUUUAAAUUCUCUUUUUUCCAGUGAAAUUGAAUACCUUUCUGCAUAUUUCUCAGACUUUAAUAUUCGUUUUAGAAAUUUCCUGCCUGUGCCCCCACCCAUUUUUCUAUUGGAAUAAUCAUUUUUAUCUUAUUGGCCUAAAGAAACAUUCAUAUAUUCUGGCUA
rnacentral:lncRNA from 10 species